rnacentral:rRNA from 1 species
AACGAACGCUGGCGGCGUGCCUAACACAUGCAAGUCGAACGAGAAAGGGGCUUCGGCUCCGAGUAAAGUGGCGCACGGGUGAGUAACACGUGGGUAACCUGCCUCUAAGAUUGGAACAACUCGUCGAAAGAUGAGCUAAUACCGGAUAAGACCACAGUUCCUGCGGGAGAAGUGGUCAAAGGUAGCCUCUGCUUGCAAGCUAUCACUUAGAGAUGGGCCUGCGCACCAUUAGCUAGUUGGUAGGGUAACGGCCUACCAAGGCGACGAUCCGUAGCUGGUCUGAGAGGACGAUCAGCCACACUGGGACUGAGACACGGCCCAGACACCUACGGGUGGCUG